rnacentral:rRNA from 1 species
AUUGAACGCUGGCGGCAGGCCUAACACAUGCAAGUCGAGCGGAGCGGCGGACGGGUGAGUAAUGCAUCGGAAUCUGCCCAGUAGCGGGGGAUAACGACCGGAAACGGGCGCUAAUACCGCAUAAUAUCGGCUCGGCCUAGGUCGGAUUGGCUAGUUGGUGGGGUAAAGGCCUACCAAGUCGACGCGCCGUAACUGGUGUGAGAGGAUGAUCAGUCACACUGGAACUGCGAGACGGUCCAGACUCCUACGUGAGGCAGCAGGGGGGAAUAUUGGACAAUGUGCGAAAGCCUGAUCCAGCCAUGCCGCGUGUGGGAAGAAGGUCUUCGGAUUGUAAAGCACUUUGGGUUGGAAGGCGGUACCUACAGAAUAAGCACCGGCUAACUUCGUGCGAGCGGCCGCGGUAAUAC